UAGGGAAUCUUCCACAAUGGGCGAAAGCCUGAUGGAGCAACGCCGCGUGUGUGAUGAUGGGUUUCGGCUCGUAAAACACUGUUGUAACGAGAAGAAUGACAUUGAGAGUAACUGUUCAAUGUGUGACGGUAUCUUACCAGAAAGGAACGGCUAAAUACGUGCCAC
rnacentral:rRNA from 1 species